rnacentral:rRNA from 1 species
GAAUUCGGCAAAUAUUUAUAUUCACUUGUUUAUCAAAAACAUGUCUUUUUGUUAAUAAUUUAAAGUCUAAUCUGCCCACUGAUAUAUUUAUUAAAGGGCUGCAGUAUUUUGACUGUACAAAGGUAGCAUAAUCAUUAGUCUUUUAAUUGGUGACUUGUAUGAAAGAUUGGAUGAAAUAUAAACUGUCUCUUUUAUAAAAAAAAAAUUGAAUUUAAUUUUUUAAUUAAAAAGUUAAAAUUAUUUAAAAAGACGAGAAGACCCUAUAGAGUUUUAUAAUUUAUUUUGUAAAUAUUUUUAUUUUUAUAUUUUUAUAAUUUUAAAUUAUUUUGUUGGGGUGAUAAAAAAAUUUAAUUAACUUUUUUUAAUAGUUUACAUUAAUAAGUGAUUAAAUGAUCCAAUUUUAUUGAUUAAAAGAAAAAAUUACCUUAGGGAUAACAGCGUAAUUUUUUUUUUUAGUUCAAAUAAAAAGAAAAGUUUGCGACCUCGAUGUUGGAUUAAGAUAAAAUUUAAAUGUAGAAGUUUAAAAUUUUGAUCUGUUCGAUCAUUAAAAUCUUACAUGAUCUGAGUUCAAACCGGUGUGAGCCAGGUUGGUUUCUAUCUUUUAAUAUUUAUAAUAUUUUAGUACGAAAGGAUUAAAUAUUACAAUUAUAUUGAGUUGUGUUGAAUUUUAUUAAGUUUUAUUUAAAUUAGUAAUUAUUUUAAUUUAUUUAUAAACUA